rnacentral:rRNA from 1 species
AAUAGAUACCCCCGGUAGUCCACGCCGUAAACGAUGAGUGCUAAGUGUUAGAGGGUUUCCGCCCUUUAGUGCUGCAGCUAAACCGNCAUUAAGCACUCCGCCUGGGGAGUACGGUCGCAAGACUGAAACUCAAAGGAAUUGACGGGGGGCCCGCACAAGCGGUGGAGCAUGUGGUUUAAUUCGAAGCAACGCGAAGAACCUUACCAGGUCUUGACAUCCUCUGACAACUCUAGAGAUAGAGCGUUCCCCUUCGGGGGACAGAGUGACAGGUGGUGCAUGGUUGUCGUCAGCUCGUGUCGUGAGAUGUUGGGUUAAGUCCCGCAACGAGCGCAACCCUUGAUCUUAGUUGCCAGCAUUAAGUUGGGCACUCUAAGGUGACUGCCGGUGACAAACCGGAGGAAGGUGGGGAUGACGUCAAAUCAUCAUGCCCCUUAUGACCUGGGCUACACACGUGCUACAAUGGAUGGUACAAAGGGCUGCAAGACCGCGAGGUCAAGCCAAUCCCAUAAAAACCAUCCUCAGUUCGGAUUGU